GCCAGACUCCUACGGGAGGCAGCAGUGGGGGAUAUUGCACAAUGGGGGGAACCCUGAUGCAGCGACGCCGCAUGGGCGAGGGAGCGCCUCGGCGCGUAAAGCCCUUUCGGCGGGGGAGAACGAUGACGGUACCCGACGAAGAAGCAUCGGCUAACUCCGUGCCAGCAGCCGCGGUAAUACGGAGGAUGCGAGCGUUAUCCGGAUUUAUUGGGUUUAAAGGGUGCGCAGGCGGCACGGCAAGCCGGCGGUCAAAUCGCGGGGCUCAACCCCGCCCAGCCGUCGGAACUGCCGGGCUAGAGUGGGCGAGAAGUGCGCGGAAUGCGUGGUGUAGCGGUGAAAUGCAUAGAUAUCACGCAGAACUCCGAUUGCGAAGGCAGCGCACCGGCGCCCUACUGACGCUCAGGCACGAAAGCGUGGGUAUCGAACAGGAUUAGAUACCCUUGUA
rnacentral:rRNA from 1 species